UACGUAGGGUGCAAGCGUUAAUCGGAAUUACUGGGCGUAAAGCGUGCGCAGGCGGUGAUGUAAGUCAGUUGUGAAAUCCCCGGGCUCAACCUGGGAACUGCAUCUGUGACUGCAUCGCUGGAGUGCGGCAGAGGGUGAUGGAAUUCCGCGUGUAGCAGUGAAAUGCGUAGAUAUGCGGAGGAACACCGAUGGCGAAGGCAAUCCCCUGGGCCUGUACUGACGCUCAUGCACGAAAGCGUGGGGAGCAAACAGG
rnacentral:rRNA from 1 species